CCUUUACACUGCAUUCUCCUUGGGGAAGGUCACAGAGCAGGAUGAGAAUGGAACCGGGAGACAGGAACAAAGCAGAGACCCUGAAGCCUGGUCUGUGGGCAGAAAAGCCUCUAGAGGCCCGACUAUCAAAGGGACAUGAUGCCUUUAAGGAGGAUGAAGUCAUCGGGGGAUGAGGCCACCUGGCUCUGCAGCCAGGGCUGCUGCCGAAAAGGAGGAGCAGAAGGUGGAAGGUGCUUUGGGCACCAUACUUGCCCCACCAUAGUGCUGGUCCUGAUCCAACUUAGAAGGUACCUGAAGUGACAGCCCACUGAGACUGCAUCAGGUGGCAGCUGGUGCCUCCCCAAAGGAUGACUGGCGACUGUUAGCAGAAGGAGCAGAAUGGAUGCCAGACAGGUGAAAUACAGGUGCCCACACCCUGAGGCUUUAGUGUAGAGUAGCUAAUAACAUGACUCUGGAGUUGGAUGAAUCUGGAUUAAAUCCAGGGUCUCUUCUCAAUAGUUACUUGAUUUGGACAAAUC
ensembl:lncRNA novel transcript